rnacentral:rRNA from 1 species
CAGUAGCCACGGUAAUACGAAGGGGGCUAGCGUUGUUCGGAAUCACUGGGCGUAAAGCGCACGUAGGCGGAUACUUAAGUCAGGGGUGAAAUCCCGGGGCUCAACCUCGGAACUGCCUUUGAUACUGGGUAUCUUGAGUCCGGGAGAGGUUGGUGGAACUCCGAGUGUAGAGGUGAAAUUCGUAGAUAUUCGGAAGAACACCAGUGGCGAAGGCGGCCAACUGGCCCGGUACUGACGCUGAGGUGCGAAAGCGUGGGGAGCAAACAGGAUUAGAUACCCCGGUAGUCCCUGUCUCUUAUAC